rnacentral:rRNA from 1 species
GAUGAACGCUGGCGGCGUGCCUAAUACAUGCAAGUCGAGCGAACAGACGAGGAACUUGCUCCUCUUACGUUAGCGGCGGACGGGUGAGUACCACGUCGAUAACCCUCCUAUAAGACUGGGAUAAAUUCGUGAAACCGGAACUAAUACCGGAUAAUAUUCUCAACCCCAUGGUGCAUUACUGACGGACGUUUUUCCUUUCAAUUUGCCAUGGAUCCGCGCCCCAUUAGCUAGUUGGUCAGGUAACGGCUUACCAAGUCCACGAUGCGUAGCCGACCUGAGAGGGUGAUCGGCCACACUGGAACUGAGACACGGUCCAGACUCCUACGGGAGGCAGCAGUAGGGAAUCUUACACAAUGGGCGAAAGCCUGACGCAGCAACGCCGCGUGUGUGAAGAAGGUCUUCGGAUCGUAAAACUCUGCUAGUAGGGAAGAACAAAUUUGUAAGUAACUAUGCACGUAUUGACGGUACCUAAUCAGAAAGCAACGGCUAACUCCGUG